GACGAACGCUGGCGGCGUGCUUAACACAUGCAAGUCGAACGGAAAGGCCCUGCUUUUGUGGGGUGCUCGAGUGGCGAACGGGUGAGUAACACGUGAGUAACCUGCCCUUGACUUUGGGAUAACUUCAGGAAACUGGGGCUAAUACCGGAUAGGAGCUCCUGCUGCAUGGUGGGGGUUGGAAAGUUUCGGCGGUUGGGGAUGGACUCGCGGCUUAUCAGCUUGUUGGUGGGGUAGUGGCUUACCAAGGCUUUGACGGGUAGCCGGCCUGAGAGGGUGACCGGCCACAUUGGGACUGAGAUACGGCACAGACUCCUAAGGGAGGCAGCAGUGGGGAAUAUUGCACAAUGGGCGGAAGCCGGAUGCAGCAACGCCGCGUGCGGGAUGACGGCCUUCGGGUUGUAAACCGCUUUCGCCUGUGACGAAGCGUGAGUGACGGUAAUGGGUAAAGAAGCACCGGCUAACUACGUG
rnacentral:rRNA from 1 species